rnacentral:rRNA from 1 species
AGUGAACGCUGGCGGUAGGCCUAACACAUGCAAGUCGAACGGCAGCACAGUAGGAGCUUGCUCUUACGGGUGGCGAGUGGCGGACGGGUGAGGAAUACAUCGGAAUCUACUUUUUCGUGGGGGAUAACGUAGGGAAACUUACGCUAAUACCGCAUACGACCUACGGGUGAAAGCAGGGGAUCUUCGGACCUUGCGCGAUUGAAUGAGCCGAUGUCGGAUUAGCUAGUUGGCGGGGUAAAGGCCCACCAAGGCGACGAUCCGUAGCUGGUCUGAGAGGAUGAUCAGCCACACUGGAACUGAGACACGGUCCAGACUCCUACGGGAGGCAGCAGUGGGGAAUAUUGGACAAUGGGCGCAAGCCUGAUCCAGCCAUACCGCGUGGGUGAAGAAGGCCUUCGGGCUGUAAAGCCCUUUUGUUGGGAAAGAAAAGCAGCAGGUUAAUACCCCGCUGUUCUGACGGUACCCAAAGAAUAAGCACCGGCUAACUUCGUG